AGUAGGUGGGGUAACGGCUCACCUAGGCGACGAUCCCUAGCUGGUCUGAGAGGAUGACCAGCCACACUGGAACUGAGACACGGUCCAGACUCCUACGGGAGGCAGCAGUGGGGAAUAUUGCACAAUGGGCGCAAGCCUGAUGCAGCCAUGCCGCGUGUAUGAAGAAGGCCUUCGGGUUGUAAAGUACUUUCAGCGGGGAGGAAGGGAGUAAAGUUAAUACCUUUGCUCAUUGACGUUACCCGCAGAAGAAGCACCGGCUAACUCCGUGCCAGCAGCCGCGGUAAUACGGAGGGUACAAGCGUUAAUCGGAAUUACUGGGCGUAAAGCGCACGCAGGCGGUUUGUUAAGUCAGAUGUGAAAUCCCCGGGCUCAACCUGGGAACUGCAUCUGAUACUGGCAAGCUUGAGUCUCGUAGAGGGGGGUAGAAUUCCAGGUGUAGCGGUGAAAUGCGUAGAGAUCUGGAGGAAUACUGGUGGCGAAGGCGGCCCCCUGGACGAAGACUGACGCUCAGGUGCGAAAGCGUGGGGAGCAAACAGGAUUAGAUACCCUGGUAGUCCACGCCGUAAACGAUGUCGACUUGGAGGUUGUGCCCUUGAGGCGUGGCUUCCGGAGCUAACGCGUUAAGUCGACCGCCUGGGGAGUACGGCCGCAAGGUUAAAACUCAAAUGAAUUGACGGGGGCCCGCACAAGCGGUGGAGCAUGUGGUUUAAUUCGAUGCAACGCGAAGAACCUUACCUGGUCUUGACAUCCACAGAACUUUCCAGAGAUGGAUUGGUGCCUUCGGGAACUGCGAGACAGGUGCUGCAUGGCUGUCGUCAGCUCGUGUUGUGAAAUGUUGGGUUAAGUCCCGCAACGAGCGCAACCCUUAUCCUUUGUUGCCAGCGGUCCGGCCGGGAACUCAAAGGAGACUGCCAGUGAUAAACUGGAGGAAGGUGGGGAUGACGUCAA
rnacentral:rRNA from 1 species